CCGGCCGGCGGAGGGAGGAAAAGGGGGAAUUGCUCACGCCGCCUCCGGCUGCGGCAUGCGGGGCUGUGAGUCCCCGCAGCCCGCACGGUUGAAAAGCAUCCCUUUGCGCCCUGGGACGCCUGAAGGGAGACCCCGGCAGCCGUGCCGGCAUCUCCGGGGAGAGGGAGGCUCGUUACAGGGAGGGGAAACAGGAGAAAGGGAGUGUGCGGCUGGUGCCGGGACUCCUUUCGCCCGUAUUUUAAUAGUCUGGUGGGUCGCCACCCCCGAGGGAGCCUCCAGCAGCAUCGCGUACGGGAGGGAGAUGACGGGGAGGCCUGCGCUUGCAAACAGCCCCUCUUUCCCACCCCAAGCACUGUCUUAACGCACAGAGAGUGGGGCACUGGGAGACCUGGCAGGGGCUGCAGCUGUCAGAAGCAGUCAUCCGGCAAAACCAGAGACAUACUGUGAAGCAAGGAAGCAUGUGGGAGAUACCUGAAAAUGCCUAGAAGCUGCAGGGUUAAGGUGUACACACUGAAGUUGCAGCGGUAACCCAGAAUAACCACAUACCCUAAGGAAGCGAAACUUCUAGGAAGAUAACUGUGAGAGUUUUUUCAAAUAUGUCAGCCUUGCAUUGCUUCUGUUUAAGCAAUGAAAGCACCUGACGUCUGCUUAUUACGACCGGUAUUUUCUGCCUUUGCAAUGGAAUUAUUUUUGUGGUUGUCAUCCCGCCCACAAACUGCGUGUCACUCAAUAGACCUCUGAGGGUCUCAGCAUCUUGUCAGAGCUCUGGCUUCAGCUGGAUUCUGCAAGGCUGUGGUUGGGGGUCUUCAACUUCUGCUGGGCUAAGGGUGGUGUGCACCAUCCUGCAGGCUCAAGCAUUAAAUAUUUGGUUCUAUUUUUCUCUUUCACUCUGACUGGUGCCAUGCUUCCAGCUUUAUUAAAAUAUUCAAAUCACGCAAAACCCUAUGUGCCUGUCACUGCCUGCUCAUGGAAAAUGAGCCUAUGCUGAAAAUUCUACAUCUAAAGGGCUGACAUACUGGUGCCAGAUCCUGAAUUGUAGGAGUGCAAAAUGUAGAAGUACUCCUAUGCCUAAUGUUGCACAUGCAAGAUCAGUUCCUUACUCCCCCAUGAGUAUGAUCCUGUUCCAGGAAAAGGAAUCUUAAUCCAGUAAGUACAGAAGUACAACAUCCCCUUUUUGGAGUGAAAACUAAAACUGUGGCACAGCUUUAAAUCCUGGCACUGAACACUUCUGGUGUGGGCACCCGUUGCCUGUGGGCAAGUCAGUAGUCCACUGCAAUUUAAUCUCAUCCUCAGCUCAGGCGGCAGAACACGCGUAUAUAUGUCCUCUCACCUCCCGGGUAUGCUCCUGAGCAUCCCUAUUACAGCAGUGUAAUGCCAGCCAGCCAUUAAAUCUGGGCACAACUGCUGUUCAUGACAGUUGAGUUAGUAAUAAUCAUCUGUUACCGUGUGGUUCCAGAAAAGUUUUGCCAGAAAAUGCUCACGCA